rfam:Triticum aestivum genome assembly, contig: Triticum_aestivum_CS42_TGACv1_scaffold_288367_4AL
UAUGUACUCCCUCCAUCCGGAAAUACUUGACCUGGAAAUGGAUGUAUCUAGACUUAUUUUAGUUAUAUAUACAUCCAUUUUAUCUAUUUUUAGGACAAGUAUUUCUGGACGGAGGGAGUAUUAU